rnacentral:rRNA from 1 species
GGGAUUUCCCUCAGUAACGGCGAGUGAAGCGGCAACAGCUCCAAAUUUUGAAAUCUGGCUCUUCCGGGGGUCCCGAGUUGUAAUUUGUAGAGAGUGUUUCGGGUGAGAUCGCGGUCUAAGUCCAUUGGAACAUGGCGUCAUAGAGGGUGAGAAUCCCGUAUGCGACUGUGGAUCGAGCCCAUGUGAAGCCUCUUCGACGAGUCGAGUUGUUUGGGAAUGCAGCUCAAAAUGGGUGGUAAACUUCAUCUAAAGCUAAAUACUGGCUGGAGACCGAUAGCGCACAAGUAGAGUGAUCGAAAGAUGAAAAGCACUUUGGAAAGAGAGUCAAACAGUACGUGAAAUUGUUGAAAGGGAAGCGCUUGCAACCAGACCUGUCCGUAGGUGAUCAGCCGCUGUUCUCAGUGGUGCACUCGCUCUGCGAUCAGGCCAGCAUCGGUUCGGGCGGUCGGAUAAAGGCCUUGGGAAUGUAGCUUCUUUCGGGGAGCCUUAUAGCCCUCGGUGCAAUGCGGCCAGCCGGGACCGAGGACCGCGCUUCGGCUAGGAUGCUGGCGUAAUGGUUGUAAGCGACCCGUCUUGAAACACGGACCAAGGAGUCUAACAUCUAUGCGAGUGUUUGGGUGUUAAACCCAUGCGCGGAAUGAAAGUGAACGGAGGUGAGAACCCUUAAGGGCGCAUCAUCGACCGAUCCAGAUGUCUUCGGAUGGAUUUGAGUAUGAGCAUAGCUGUUGGGACCCGAAAGAUGGUGAAUCUAUGCCUGAAUAGGGUGAAGCCAGAGGAAACUCUGGUGGAGGCUCGCAGCGGUUCUGACGUGCAAAUCGAUCGUCAAAUUUUGGGUAUAGGGGCGCA